GUCUCUUCGAAGACAUCUGAUAAAAUUGAAACGAUAUAGAGAAGAGUAGCAUGGCUCCUGCGUAAGGAUGACACGCACAAAUCGAGAAAUGGUGUCUUAAUAA